UAGAUGCUACCUUCGUCCAAUAAAGGAUGUCUCAAUUUUGACCAAAUUUGAAUGCAUCAAUACACUAAGUCAUAUCUAUAUACAUUCAAAUUUUGAAAAACUUGAGACAUCUUUUAUUGGACGGAGAAGUACACA
rfam:Brachypodium distachyon strain Bd21 chromosome 1, whole genome shotgun sequence.